AGUGAACGCUGGCGGUAGGCCUAACACAUGCAAGUCGAACGGCAGCACAGUAAGAGCUUGCUCUUACGGGUGGCGAGUGGCGGACGGGUGAGGAAUACAUCGGAAUCUACUUUUUCGUGGGGGAUAACGUAGGGAAACUUACGCUAAUACCGCAUACGACCUACGGGUGAAAGCAGGGGAUCUUCGGACCUUGCGCGAUUGAAUGAGCCGAUGUCGGAUUAGCUAGUUGGCGGGGUAAAGGCCCACCAAGGCGACGAUCCGUAGCUGGUCUGAGAGGAUGAUCAGCCACACUGGAACUGAGACACGGUCCAGACUCCUACGGGAGGCAGCAGUGGGGAAUAUUGGACAAUGGGCGCAAGGCUGAUCCAGCCAUACCGCGUGGGUGAAGAGGGCCUUCGGGUUGUAAAGCCCUUUUGUUGGGAAAGAAAAGCAGCAAGUUAAUACCCCGCUGUUCUGACGGUACCCAAAGGAUAAGCACCGGCUAACUUCGU
rnacentral:rRNA from 1 species